rnacentral:rRNA from 1 species
AACGAACGCUGGCGGCGCGCCUAAUACAUGCAAGUCGAGCGAGAAGACGUAGCAAUACGUUUGUAAAGCGGCGAACGGGUGAGGAAUACAUGGGUAACCUACCCUCGAGUGGGGAAUAACUAGCCGAAAGGUUAGCUAAUACCGCGUACGCUCCUUGGACUUCGGUUCAGGGAGGAAAGCGAUACCGUGGGUAUCGCGCUCAUGGAUGGGCUCAUGUCCUAUCAGCUUGNGGUGAGGUAACGGCUCACCAAGGCUUCGACGGGUAGCUGGUCUGAGAGGACGAUCAGCCACACUGGCACUGCGACACGGGCCAGACUCCUACGGGAGGCAGCAGUAAGGAAUAUUGCGCAA